GUACAUCCGACAUCUUUAAGUAUUGCUGGGGACAAUUCACAGCUGUUGCGUGCAACAAAACAAAUAAAGGUAGAUUCAGUCUCCAGUUGUAAACGACAAUUGGUUAGCUGUAGUGGAGAAUAUUUGCGUUUUAGUAAGACUAAUUACCUUUCCUGUUAAGAAGGUGCCUCUGUUGUAGUUCUGUAUAGGAAGGUUCAGUUAUAUGUACGAACUUAUAUGAAGUAUAUUGGGUCUUUAGUUGGUGC
rnacentral:lncRNA from 1 species